UCUCGAGGGCCCGUGAUCCAGGCCCGGGACUGGGUCAGUGGCGAGAGCAACGCCUUUGUCCCAGAGCCUCAGCCGCCCACCGAGGCUGCGGGGCUCUGCUCGCAGGGUCAGCGAGGGUCUGCACGGCUUUCCGCCCUCAGGGGAGACGAGAAAUAUUUGCUCCCUAAGGAUGGAAGAACACCCGAUAGGCAGUCACCUGCACGGCCUCCGGGCACGCUCGGAGAAUCCGGCCUUGGGGCGGUGCUUCUGUCGGAGCCCCUGGCAUUGCAAUUGGUGAGGCUGGCAGGUUGGUUGUCAGGAAGAGAGCAAAAUCGAGGAACUUCCUGGAGAUCUUGCCCGGGCCUCCAUUUCUCAUUUCUAAUCUACUCUCUUCUUUAACUGUCAAUUUUACUGCACCUGGAUUCAACUAGAUCAGAUUCAUUUACUUCAGACACAAUCUAUUCCACCAAGAAUCAAAUAAUCACCAACAGAAGACCUGUCUGAGUUUCCAAACACUUAGGUUGAAAUUUCAAACAUUUAAUUCUUUAAUCAGCAAGAGAGUAGGAGGCCUACCUACAAAGGUUAAGUGCUUAGACAAAAAGAAGAAGAGUUCUUUUCACUCAAUACUUUCCACAGACGGACAUACUGCAUGUCACAGUAAGAUGGACAGGCCACCUAAAAAGAGACCUCUCUUAAUCACAGUCCUACCAGCAAGUUUUUCCAUCUGAACCAAUGUGUCCUCAGUGGGUGCUCCCUCUAGGAGUUUUUCCGUCAGUCUACUGCCACAAGCUUUCAGGAGCCUGUUAAAAAAGGAAAAAGAUGAAUUUCUACCAAUUAACCCUAUUUAGCUAGUGUUUUUAUGGUGCUCAAUUUAACAUGUGUUACAAAAUUCAGCCAGUGUCAAAUAAGCAAUGAGCCACCCAUUUGAGAUUCACCACAUUCCCUAACACAUUACUGAAACCAAAUUUCAUGAUGGAUACUGACAUAAUACAAAGAUUACUAACAGUCUCAUUACUUUAAUGGAAGCAGUAAGACCUUGUCAUCAAAGGAUCAUUACCAAGCAAAGGAUGUAUGCAGACAUGCCCACAAAUUUUCGUCACUUGUCAAUGAUGUGAGAGAACGGGCUGCAUUGCCAUUCCUCUGGUGUAAAAACGGAGUAAAAGCUGUGUUCAUCCGCUGGGCACGUUGUGGACAGCCAUACUGUUCUGCCUCAAACACCUAAGGACACAAAAAUUCUGUUUACCAAUUCAAAAAACCCUGCUCUUCGGCCAGUUGGCCCAAUUCAAAUCUCAUUUAUUCUA